rnacentral:rRNA from 1 species
UUUAAAGAGAGUUUGAUCCUGGCUCAGGACGAACGCUGGCGGCGUGCCUAAUACAUGCAAGUCGAACGAACGGAGGAAGAGCUUGCUCUUCCAAAGUUAGUGGCGGACGGGUGAGUAACACGUGGGCAACCUGCCUGUAAGUUGGGGAUAACUCCGGGAAACCGGGGCUAAUACCGAAUGAUAAAGUGUGGCGCAUGCCACGCUUUUGAAAGAUGGUUUCGGCUAUCGCUUACAGAUGGGCCCGCGGUGCAUUAGCUAGUUGGUAGGGUAAUGGCCUACCAAGGCAACGAUGCAUAGCCGACCUGAGAGGGUGAUCGGCCACACUGGGACUGAGACACGGCCCAGACUCCUACGGGAGGCAGCAGUAGGGAAUCUUCCGCAAUGGACGAAAGUCUGACGGAGCAACGCCGCGUGUAUGAAGAAGGUUUUCGGAUCGUAAAGUACUGUUGUUAGAGAAGAACAAGGAUAAGAGUAACUGCUUGUCCCUU